UACGUAGGGGGCAAGCGUUGUCCGGAUUUAUUGGGCGUAAAGAGCGUGUAGGCGGCCUGAAAGGUCAGCUGUGAAAACUCGAGGCUCAACCUCGAGACGUCGGUUGAAACCAUCUGGCUAGAGUCCGGAAGAGGAGUGUGGAAUUCCCGGUGUAGCGGUGAAAUGCGCAGAUAUCGGGAAGAACACGCGUGGCGAAGGCGGCACUCUGGGACGGUACUGACGCUUAGACGCGAAAGCGUGGGGAGCGAACAGG
rnacentral:rRNA from 1 species